AGGUGCGAGACCCGACCAUGCCAAAAUAUCUCCAGAAGGUGAGAGAUCUCGUGACACACCUCAAGUAUUUCGAGAUCUCCCACAUUCUCAGGACGGAGAAUGCUCGGGCCGAUGCACUCUCCAGGCUUGCGACAUCAGCUUACGAUGCCUUGGGUCGGAUAUUUAUGGAGAGCCUCGAGCAGUCGAGCAUUGACAGGGCC
rnacentral:lncRNA from 1 species